UACGAAGGGUGCGAGCGUUAAUCGGAAUUACUGGGCGUAAAGAGCACGUAGGCGGUUUGAUAAGCGGAAUGUGAAAUCCCCGGGCUUAACCUGGGAACUGCAUUCCGAACUGUCAGGCUAGAGUAUGAUAGAGGUGAGCGGAAUUUCCUGUGUAGCGGUGAAAUGCGCAGAUAUCAGGAAGAACACCCGUGGCGAAGGCGGCUCUCUGGAACGCAACUGACGCUGAGACGCGAAAGCGUGGGGAGCAAACAGG
rnacentral:rRNA from 1 species